AGAAAAUAAAUUAAUCUUUCUUAUGAGCAAUUGAUUUCAUUUAAUGUUCCCUACAGCAUGUCACCAUUACAAAACAAAGGCGCAAGUUGGAAUAAGUUUCCAAGUUUUGUUAGAGAGUAGAACAUUGUGGCCUUAUGCUAUUAUAUUACCUGUUUUCUCCCUCAUCUGAAUGCUAAUUUUAGGAAUACUCUAUGUUUGUGCAUGCGUGUGAUCGUGCGCAUGUGUGUGCAUGUGUGUGAUAGAGAAAUACUUAGAUUUGAAUUUUUAGUAUUUAUUAUAUACCUGGGGAGGCAUUAAACUUAUUAUGUAAAGGGAAAAUUAUAAAUGCCCCCCCAAAAUAAACUUUGCAUACAUCCUACCCUCGAAUACUUUUAUUAUCACACCCUAAACGUCAACACUAUUUUUUCUUAUAUUUGCUCCCGCAGUCAAAAAGUCGGAAAAUUUUAGACUAAAUUACCCUUUUAUCCUCUCUACCCACCCUUUCUUUCUCUCUUUCUACCUACCUCUCGCUCUACCCUCUUUACCCACACUCUCUCUCACUCUCUCUACCUGCCCUCUCUCACUCUUUCUCUCUACCCACCCUCUCUCUUUCUCUCUCUACCCUCUCUACCUGUCCUCUCUCUCCAUCCACCCUCUCUUAAUCUUUCUCUCUCUACUAACCCUCUCUUUCUCUACCUACCCUCUCUCUCAAACCUCAGGAUUUUUCCAGCGAGUCUAUUACCUGAGAGGUCAAUUUCAAUAAAAUGCCGACACCCACUACUCUUCAUUAAUUUCCUCUCACCACAAUCAACAUUUCUGCCUCCUGCUAAUGUACAUCCCCCUUUCACUCUCUAGAAUUAUAGUGGCUUCACUCCAGGUCUUUUGGCCUCGAUUUAGCAGAAUCCCAUUUUCAGAGCUUGAAAAUUACUAGUCCUCAUUUAGAAGCAAACAGCACACCUCAAUAAUUUUCAGUUUGUUUCUGCCAAAUGGGGGCCUCGGGAAGCUGGUUGGCUGGAAAUGGUUGUCGCCAAGAAACCAGCUGCUUGGCCAGAAAUGGUGCUCGGUGCCUCAAGGGUAGGGAUCUUGGCUGCUUGAAAACCACCCGUGCUACUAUUCUUCUGGCCGGGAAUGUAAGCCAAAGAGAGAGAAAACCAGCUGGUUGGUCGAAAAUGGUGCUCGAUGCCCCAAGAGUAGGGAUCUAGGCUGCCAAAAAACCACCCGUGCUAUUGUUCUUCUGGCCGGGCAGGAAAGCCGAAGAGAGAGAAAACCAGCCGGUUGGCCAGAAAUGGUGCUCGGUGAUCUUGGCUGCUGGGAAACCACCCGUGCUAUUAGGAAAUGAGGCGGCUGCCUUUCCUAAUCCUCCUCGUGCAGAGAGAGAGAGAGAGAGAGAGAGAGAGAGAGAGAGAGAGAAGUAANNNNNNNNNNNNNNNNNNNNNNNNNNNNNNNNNNNNNNNNNNNNNNNNNNNNNNNNNNNNNNNNNNNNNNNNNNNNNNNNNNNNNNNNNNNNNNNNNNNNNNNNNNNNNNNNNNNNNNNNNNNNNNNNNNNNNNNNNNNNNNNNNNNNNNNNNNNNNNNNNNNNNNNNNNNNNNNNNNNNNNNNNNNNNNNNNNNNNNNNNNNNNNNNNNNNNNNNNNNNNNNNNNNNNNNNNNNNNNNNNNNNNNNNNNNNNNNNNNNNNNNNNNNNNNNNNNNNNNNNNNNNNNNNNNNNNNNNNNNNNNNNNNNNNNNNNNNNNNNNNNNNNNNNNNNNNNNNNNNNNNNNNNNNNNNNNNNNNNNNNNNNNNNNNNNNNNNNNNNNNNNNNNNNNNNNNNNNNNNNNNNNNNNNNNNNNNNNNNNNNNNNNNNNNNNNNNNNNNNNNNNNNNNNNNNNNNNNNNNNNNNNNNNNNNNNNNNNNNNNNGAGAGAGAGAGAGUAAAAUAUCCUCCACGUGUGUACAUAGAGAGGAGUGAAGAAUAAAGUGUUAGAUUUCCAGCUCGUAGAGAGAGAAAGAGAGGGCGGGUAGAGAGAAUAAAACGGCCAUUUAGUCUAAUUUUUUUUGACUGUUUGAUUAGGGGGUUAAAUAUAAAAACAAACAGUGUUGGGGUUUAGUGUGUGAUAUUAACAUUAUUGGGGAGUAGGAUGUGUGCAAUGUUUAUUUUUAAUUGUCAUUUGAUUCGUGUUUUAUUGUUAUUUAUUCCCCAUUUUUUAUCUUUUCCAUUUUUUUCUUGCUUCGAAUAGUUUCUGAAUCCUCUUGAAUUUGCAAGACACAUUGCUCAAUCUUCUGAAAUUGUUUGAAAACGAUGUGAGGAAAUCAGUCUCUAUUUUGUAUAUAAAAAAAAUAAACUCCGGUUGGUCUCUCUCUACCUACAAUCUUUCUUCUUUCUAGCUUUCUGUAAUUGAGGCAGUGUAUUUUUGGGAAAAUUGGUUUGGGUUCUCUCUGUUUUAUAGAUCAUUAGGAUUAACAGGAGAAUCUGGGCAUUUUUAUUCUCUAUGUUAAAGUUAAGGUUGCUAUUAUUAUUAUUAUUACAAUCUCUUCUCUUGAAUUCUUCAGGUUUGAAAUCUGAAAAAGAUGGGAUUACCCAAACUGCAACUUCUCAAGUAUGGAGCGGGGAGGUUUCAGAACUUAGUUAGAAAGAGCUGGUUCAGUUCAGGGUCUGGGUCAAGUGGCCUAAUAAGCCAUAAUGCCAUUGUUGAGGCAAGACACUAUACCGACACUGUGAACCCAUUCAAGGAGGAUAAUACAAGAUUCGUGUGCACAUAGCUAUCGCAUAGGGCACCAUUGAAUGAAUUCACUUUUCAGUUGUUCAACAUGCUCAUGUUUUAGUGCAGUUUUGUGCAAUAACUACUAAAUGCAAAUGAAAACAAAAUGACAUCUUUAUAGAUUGUUUUAUAGAACGUGUUCUAGUUUAUUUUAAUAUAUCGUUUGAUUAGGUUUGAGUGUUUCUUAGGUGUACUCCUUUCAUUGGUGAAUGUUUCUUGAUAAUUUUUGUUAAUCUUUCUCUUUCAGUAUUAUUGGCAUGGUUUUAUUGCUUUCAUAGUGUAGUAAUGUCAUAUAUUGCUGACUAGGUGUUUUUGUGCUGACUAUAAAAGGAAACUAAUUGACAUUCUUAAGCUAUAUUUCAUAAACACUAAUGUUAAUUUUAAGGAUUUGUAUGCGCAUUAUAAGUGGCCUUACUUGUUGGCCUCAAAUACUUCAAUAGCGAAUGGGGUAAUAUUUUGAUCAUUGAAGGAGACUCUACAAAUGUCAGUACUUGGGCUUCUAGAUCAGCUUUUGAUCACAUUUUUGACGAGAUUUCCCACCGAUGCACUGAACUUCAAACUGUCUGGAGGCAUACUUGGAGGGAGGUAAACUCCCUUGAAGGUUCCCUCGCUAAGCAAGGGCCCAAGGCUCCAUCCCUCUGGGAAUUCUGUGACCAGCCUCUAAGAGCUAUCUCCUCGUUUUGUUUGUUUUCCUUUUGACCUUAUGGUCAGCGUGUAAUGUUUGUAUAGUUUUGUUCCUGUUAGGGUUUCUUCUUUCAAACACCCGCAUUGUGGGUGGCCGACUUUUUGUACUCUCCUUAUAGUCAAUGCAUCAAUUAACAUUCUAAAAAAAUAUAGGUUUUUGUGGAACAACUUCCUAAGGAAUUCAAAUACCUAGUGCCAAGUAUAGUUACACUUUAGAGAUCAUAAGCACAUUCAUUUUGAAUGAAAGUUCACUUAGAUCAUGCAUACAUUGAGAGAGUUCUUUAGUGUUGCUGUUGUAAUGGAGCUUUUGCUCUGCAAUAUAGAUUUAAAAGUAUUGUUGUUUACUGUUGGACCCAAAUAUUUCACUUUCCUGUUUUAGCCCAUUUUACCUCAACGGGCAUUUAUUUUAGUGAGGGGAGACUGGAAAACCUUCGAGAAAAUGUUAUACACGAGCUUGGUUGUGAGAACCUUUUUAUUUGUAGCAUUGUCACUCGAAAAACAAACUUGCCUUGGGAAUCGCCAUACACAUUCUUGAGGCCUUCAUCCUUCAUCCUUCGGUAGUGUGCUUGAGUUCACAUUCAAAAUUAAUGGUCCCUCAUGGAUUUCCAUGCUGGGAUUUAUCAUUUCGCUGGUAAUAUUUACAAUGGACAUUAUUACUUAUGUGUUCUAUAUCUUAGGUUGUAUCAAGUUUUUUUUUUCGACUGGGACUCGAGCUUGGAACCUGGCAGGGCUAAGUGUGAAUUAGUGUAUCAGACCAAGUGGAGCCAAGUCCGAUUUGACAGAGUACUAAAAAAUCUAACAAAGGAGCCUUGGAACCAGUGAGAUUCGGUUGAUUGCUAAGGUUAGUACUCUCAAGUCUAAGUUAGACACAACGAGUUACAAAACACUAGUUCUAACUUAUGCUCAUGCGUGGGGUGUAUCUCUCUAUAGCAAUAACAUAAGCACUAUUGUUCUUAUUCUUUCUAGGUCAGGACAAUUUCUUAUGUUAAAUUGUGUUUCCCAACGUUCAAAUAAAAGCUCUAUUGUUAAGGCGAUAUUCACCUUAGUUUUUUUGAAUGGGUUGUUCAAACACUUCAAAGCACAAUGCUGCUUUCUUUUCCGAGGAAGAUUUUAUCGAAAUUGCAGUCAACUCAUUCUUUGGGAAGGACCUAAAGUGCGUCUCUGUAGAAUAGAGAGCACAAGUGUGUCUUACUUUUGGUUUUGGACAUAUAAUAUUUAUUUAUGUACUGAGUUUUUGGAGCAACACUGAGCUAUCAGCACUGAAGUUAUUAAUUGAUGAACUCUUAAGUGUAAGUCCAUUCAUCUUGAAAGAAAGGGAGUGUCCCCAUGCUUCUUGCACCACCCCUCGCCCCUCUUUUCUUCCUUUUAUCAGAUUGCUGAACACUUCUUCUAUUUCAAACUUUGAGAGGAAUAUAGUGGGUGUGUGGUAGUCUGAUUUCCAAUUUGUUAAGUGUAUUAGUUUAGUAUUUAAAGGUGACAUGUCUGUGAUUUCAUUGUAUUCGAAGUUGAGAUUUGAUAGGGUUAUCUAAGAUUAUACAUUUUUAGACCACUGAAUUGUAAAUACCGUAACUUGUGGAAGCUUUUGGCUUAUUCAAGAAUCUUCAGUUGUUCGAAGUGCACUUAAAUAAUUGCUUUUUGUUGGGAGAAUAUUUUUUCUACUCAAACAUUCAGCCUUUUGUAUUGAAGGAUUGUUAUCUUGUAGACAUUAACUAAAUAGCUAUUUUAAUGAAUGGCCUGUGCUUUACCUAGGGGUGGCAAUGGACCCGGACCCGACCUGGGUCCGGGUAUGGGUCAAAAAAUUGGACCCGUCAGGUCGGGUCUAGGUCCAAAUCUUGGACCCGGACACUAUUCGAGUCUGGUUCCAUGUGGACCCUACUCGAUCUGAUCUGAACAAUGUUAAUAUUUAAAUAAUAUUUAGUAUAUAAUAUUUAAAAAAUAUCUAAAUAUACAUGAGUAUAUAUUUUUAGUUAUAAUAUUCAAAUAGUACAUGCAUAUAUUUAAUAUAAUAUAAUAUUUAAAGGGUAUGGUUUCUAUAAGGUUGCAACCUUAAACAAUCCAAUUAAGGCGCACCUCCAAAUUUUAUCGUAACAUGUAAUUUUGGUGUAAAAAAUUAUUAGGAUUACCUCAAAAUCUAUUUUUAUAUUUAAUUAUAAAAUUUUAAACUCUAAAAAUGGUUAAAAUCAAGAUCUAUAAGUAUAACAUAAAGCAUGAGAGUCUCCUCUAGCGUCUCUUGCUCGCUCUCUCUCAUCUCUCACCUUCUUACCUGUUGGAACGAUACCUACAAGCUCUACCCCAGGACCUCGCCGCGCUCUCCUUCUCUCCGCCUCAAGCUGCGACCUUUGUUCUCCCCUUUGCAGUUUUCCUCCCGUCCCCCCCUUUCUUCCUCUUUUGCCUAGGUCGUAGCCUCCUCUCAGCCUGUUUCUUCCCCCACUCAGUCCGAUCCCCCCUGCUUCCUGAGCACAAGAAUUGCAGUUCCGCCUUGUCCCCUUUCCUCACUUUCUGCAUCUCUAUCAUCCAGGGCGAGGUCGAUAAAGCUACGCCCAAACUGCUCUCCUCUCUGAUUGGCAGCUUCCUCCCUGCCCGCCAUAACAUCAGAGGCAUUGAAAGUGCUGCAAAAAUAUUAUGGAGGGAACCUAACAUUACUUGCAGCUGCCUAGCAAAGGGAGAAAUCCUCUUUUCCUUCCCCUCUUCAAGCAUUGCCCAACUAGCUCUUCAAGGUCAAAAAUCUUUCUCCUUUCAUGGAGCCGGUUGCCGCCUCUGCCCUUGGUCGCCGUUGGAGGGUUCUUUUAGGAAACAAAGAGUGUGGUUAACUUUCAACCACAUCCCUCUCCAGGUUUGUACACUAGACACUUUUCGUCGCCUUUCUACUGCUUGCGGCUCCUUCAUAUCGAUCCAUUGGAUCUCGAUUGAGUCCCUUCCCUUGGGCUCUCUAUCAGAACCCUAGUGGAAGUUCUUGACCCCCUUUUGAUUCCCAAAACCUUAUGGCUCGAAGCCUCCGACCUUUACUUCCCUAUCUCCACCUACUGGUCUCUGGCCUCCCCUCCAUCCCCUGCUUUCCUUCACCUUGCUACCCUUACCAAACCUAAGGUCACUGACACUGAUUCCUAGAUUCUAGUCUCAAAGAAAACCCACUCAUCCAGUAGACGCCGAAUGCCUCCUCCAAGGUUGCCUGUCAAUGGUAGCCUCAUAGCAGCUCAGCCUCUUCUGCUGGCCCUUUCUCCGGCCCAGCCACCUCCGAUGUCCAAGUCUUCUCAAGGGAGGGUCCCCAUUGACCCGCUCCGUACUGUGCAGGCCCGCGACCCGCCUACUUCUGCCCCCCUAGCCAACUUUCGUCGACCCAAAAAAGAGGCCUGUUUGGACCUUUUGCCUCUUUCCUCGGGUCCCAAGCCUGACCUGGGGCGGUCCUUUUCGAAAGAUCCCGCCUUCCUUUCUCCCGCCUUGUGUCCUCCUGACAAGCCACCCCUCUCCCCUGCCUUUGUUCCACACGUGGCAGCCGUUCCCAUCCCUGUACACGCGUCAUACGAUGAUCCACCCAACCCUCUGACAAGCUCGACUCCGCCUGCCGUCGUUCACCUACCCUCCCCGCCUCUCUCCCUUCCACCUCGACAACCUCCCGUCCACCUGCAGCCUGCCUCACCCUCGACUAACGCGCCCUGCCACCUGUCCUCCUCGAGCCCUCCCCCUGCUCACCUGUCACCCGAGGAGCCCUCUUUCUCUCCCUCCACCGACUACCUGUCCCCGCCUGUUUCCUCCCCUAACCCUAUUUUUUUGCUGUUGCUCCCCCUGCUCCUCUGCCCUUCCCUCUCUUAUCUUGGCUCCUGUAGCCCUUUUCCUCCCUUGCACGAGGUUGCUGAGGAUCCCCCUUGGUCACCAUGACACCUCUCUUCCUCCUCUAACCAGCCGCUCCCCGCGUCGCUGCACCCUCAUCUCCCCCCCAUUUCUUUAACUUACCUUCCUCUUUGCCUUCUUGACUGCUCUCCGCCUCUCCACUUUCCUGUGGAUCUUUCGCAUCUCCCCCCUAUGGAUCGUAAUCUCCUCCCCCAAGGCUUAGCGACCGCCCAAACUUGGGACCCCACUCCCCCGGAUUCUGACUCCCUCUCUUUCAUGCUGGCCCCUCUCCUCUCUUACACCCUCCUCCUUGUUCGUUUCACCAGAGUAAACUCCCUUCACUUCACCUGGCUCUCUUACCAUUCCACCCUUAUCGCCACCCUUUCCUCCGUCCAGACCUACCAUUUACCUCGCUUACCUCCCCUCCCCUACUCUGCCCAUCCUUGUGCCUUUCCACUCUGACACCCAACAGGCUUUCAGCUUGCCUGUCUAUCCCCCCUACCCUUAUCAGGAGCCCUUUCCUCUUCUGGACUCUCCCCCUGUUGAUUUGAACUUCCCCCAUCCUCUCUCGAGGAGUCCCCUUGUGCUUUCUACCUCUCAGGUGUCUGAGCCGUUUCAGCACCUGGCCCACCUCCCGAACCUCUCCCCCCCUUACCCCUUGACCUCUAUCCUUCUUUUAGCCCUGAGUCAGCCACAACUAUUCGGGGUUUUCUCCGGUCACACUAGUUAGCCUAAUCCCUUUACCCCACCUGUCGUUGAAGGUCCUAGCCAUAGCAACGAUGAGGAAGCUGUCGCCAGGAACUCUAACAUCGAAGACAAGAUGAAAGAGAUGUACAACAUCAUGGGUUUUCACCAUGAUGGCCCAAAAGGUCCAAGCCACAAGUUCAUUACCGCAGACGCGCACAACAGACUCAAGGUAUGACCCAAAGGUCAUAGAGAACUUCUUAGCCUUUUCCCCUCCCCCCCUUUCCAGGACAAGCCUUCCCGUGACUCCCCUGCUUUCUUCCCAUCUUCUUCCCCAAGAGGUCAUCCAGACUGGCCUUAUCCCCACCCCCAUCAUCCUCUCUAUGAAGAUAGUGACCUGGAACAUUAGGGGACUGGGUCACCAGUCAAAGAAGCAUGCGGUCCGAAACCUUUCUCUCAAGUACUCCCCCUCGGUUCUGGCCCUUAUAGAAACCAAACAACCUGAACCUAAUCAGCAGACCGUCUGCCUUAUUUGGGGUUUUAGUCCUUCCCAGUGGGUGGCUCUAACAGCCGAGGGAGCGUAAGGAGGAAUUUGGGUCAUAUGGAACCCACAAGAACACAAUCUCAUCUCCUCUCAUGUGGGAGACUUCUCGGUUACCAUCCUCCUCUCCACCGUGUCUAAUGGUUCUUCUUGGAAAUUCUCGGCCGUUUAUGGCCCAAAUUCUUCCUCCCUCAUACAGAGUUUUUGGGCUGAAUUGGACCACGUUGCAGCUCUCCCUCACCCUACCUGGUGCCUAGGAGGAGAUUUCAAGAUGGUCCCAUGAAUGUAACACCUCAUCCUCCAUUUCUCGGGACAUGAGGGAUUUUUCGGACUUUAUUAACGGGAACGCCCUCAUGGACAUUCCUUUCCAAGGCAGCCUAUUCACGUGGUUUAACCACUCUUCGAGCCCCUCCCUCUCUAAACUUGACCGUUUCCCCUUCUCUACUGAUUGGGAUCUUCAUUUCCCGUAGUCUCAAGCCUUAUCACUACCCAAACCCAUCUCUGACCACUGCUCCAUUCUCCUUAAUACUCCAUUCUCCUUAAUACUAAUGCCAUCCUAAGAGGCCCUAAACCUUUUAGGUUUGAACUCCUUUGGCUGGAAGAACCAUCUCUCCUUCCCAAUAUGCUUUUAUCCAAGAGAGGCAGAUUUUGGAUGGGGGGAUGGGGUCUUGGUAGCCAAUGAGUGUCUCCACUCCAGACACCUAGCUAAGAAACCAGGUUUAAUCUUCAAAAUACAUUGGGAGAAAGCCUACGAUCACGUAGACUGGGCUAUGUUGGAGGAAACCAUGUCACGGAUGGGCUUCAGAGAUCGUUGGAGGAGGUGGAUGAGGGGAUGUUACUCCAACCCCCAUUUAUCCAUUAUCCUUAACGGAUCACCGAAAGGGUUCUUCCCGGCUCACUGGGGACUUCGUCCCCUUAUCUCCCUUCCUCCUUGCUGUAGCUGCGGAAGUGUUCUCAAGAUCCCUCACUCGCCUCUAUCAGUUCGGCCUUUUAUCUGGCUUCACCACCAGCAACCAGGGUCCCCUCAUGUCACAUCUGCAAUACGCAGGCGACACCCUGGUUUUUCUUGAUGCCACACGAGAGGAAAUCAACACCCUCAAACUUUUUCUUAAGUGCUUCUCGACAGCUACUAGGUUCAAAGUCAGUAUGAGCAAAUCUAAAAUGAUGGGAGUCGCCCUGUCUCCUGACCAGGUGACUGCCCUUAGUCCAGACUGGGAAUGCAAAGUGGAAGAUCUCCCCUCCACUUACCUGGGUCUCCCUCAGGGACUUGGGAAACCCAAAAAAAGGCUUUGGUCCCAGGUCCUCGACAAAAUUGAGAGACGCCUUUCUACCUGGAAAGGCAGGUACCUCUCACCUACGGGUAGAGUUGCCCUGAUUAAGGCCACCUUGGCAAAUACCUCAGUUUAUCUUAUGUCCCUUUUCCAGAUGCCGGCACCGGUGGCCAACCGCAUAGAACAACUUAUGUGGAACUUCCUUUGGUCUGGCCAAGCAGAUAAGACUAAAUUUCAUCUGGUAGCCUGGGAUAACACAUGCCUACCAAGAAAGCAAGGGGGCUUAGGGAUUCGAAUCCUCAGAAAGCAUAACACAACUCUUUUAGAUAAAUGGUGGUGGUGCCUGCUCUCUGGGCUCAAAUUUUGCACAAAAAAUACAGAAUCCACGAGGAUAUUUGGGUACUAGAGACCAUCCAAAAACAGAGGGCGUCUGGUGUAUGGCUAUCUCUAGCUUCUUCUCACCUUUGUUCAGAAGACGCAUUAGAUUCCACGCUAGAGUUGGCAACAGAGUCGAAUUCUGGAAGGACCUCUGGUUGGGUACUUCACCUUUGUGCAAGGCCUUCCCUUACCUUUUUUACCUCUCCUCUGAUGACAACUCCAUUGUUGCUGAUGAACUGCCUAUUGUUGAUGGCAGAAGAUCUUAGUGCCCUUUAUUCCGCAUAACCUUUUCUGAGGAUGAGUGCACUCAUUUCCUUCGUCUACUGGGUACCUUAUCCUCCCACUUCCUCCCCUAUUCCGGCAGCGACUCUUUGGUUUGGAGCCUAUCCCCUUCAGGCCUUUUUUCUGUAACCUCUUUCUACAAAGCCCUCAUUCAACCUCCAACCUUUGCCCUCAACCCCACCUCGAUCUUGUCGAAAUGUGGUCACACCAUAGCUGCACCAAAGAUCCAGUUCUUUUGUUGGAUCGCAUGCUCCCAUAGAGCCCUUACAGUCGACCAACUUCAAAGGAGAGGUCUCUCCUUACCAAAUAGUUGUAAACUUUGCCUCAGUGAGGAGGAAUCCAACUGUCAUCUGUUCAUUCUCUGCGACUAUUCCGGCCAACUGUGGUCUCUUUUACUCCAACUCUUUGGCCUCCAAUGGGUUACCCCACCCACUGUCAAAGCCCUCAUCACCUACAACUUCGAUUCUCAAUGGCCUUUGGCUGGGAAGUUAUCUGGUCUCUAUGGCUGGAAAGGAACAAUAGGAUUUUCAAUGGUGAUCAGCUCCAACUGUCGGCCCCUUUUCACAAGAUAGUCUCGUUAACCACUUUCUGGGCUUCUCAUCAUAAAGCCUUUUCGGGCAAUCCCAGGAACAUUUUCUUCCCUCAUUGGCAAAACAUUCUCUACCAUAGACCUCCCAAACCCCCAAGAAUCAGCAGGAGGAGACCCCCACCAGUGGGCAGCAUCAAGCUGAAUUUUGAUGGCUGUUCUUUAGGCAACCUGGGUCCCUCAGGUGCAAGGGGUGUGUUCAGAGAUAGCCAGGGCUUAGUCAUCUUCUCUCUUUCGGCCCAUCUAGGGACUUUCGAUUCCCAAUAUACAGAAGCCAUGGAUCUCCCACUGGGCUUGAGAAACUUUAAACUUUCAUGGGGCUCCUCACUGAUAGUGGAAGGAGACACUUCUAGCACAAUGUCCUGGGCUAGAGGCUUGUCCCCCCCUCCUUGGCAUUGUCCUCAAUCUUUGAUGAAAUUUCAUAUUUAUGCAGGGAUACCAGCGUCUUAUGGCUGCAUACUACUGGCGAAGGAGGGAGCUAGUUUGUGUUUGGACUCCCUGGCUAGGUCCAACUCCUUUUUUGUUCAGGACCUAAGCUGUACUGACCUUUAGACUGGGUCUAACUCCUUUUUUGUUCAGGAUCUCUACAGUACAGUAUACCACCUCUCUUUUUUGAGCAAGUCACUGCGCAGUUUUUUGUAUAUCUCAUGGUAUAUCUUGUAGGAUGGGUGCUUCUUAUAUGCCUUUACUGAUCUUGGAAGACUAAUGCUUUAAUGUAUUUUUUACUGUUAGUCAUCAUGGGAGGGUGUGCUCUCAGUCUUAUCUCAUGUAAACUCCCAUAGUAAUACAAUGUUAACCUUUCUCAAAAAAAAAAAAACAAAUGAAAAUCUUGAAAAUUGACGGUCUAGAUAAUGCGUUGCAAGAUGCACUAUUUUUGGGACUCAAAAUCUUUUUUUUUUCAUAGUCAUACAUCUCGUUGUCGAGAUGAUCAAUUAGAGGGUUUUUCAACAUUAGAAAACCUUUUCCGAUAGAUUUUUGUGGUGCAUCCAUAAUUCUACAUUUUAAGGUUGCAACCUUAUAUAAACUUUUUCCAUAUUUAAAUAUAUGUUUUUUAUUUUUUGGUCGGGUCCAAUCGUGGACCCGACACGACCCAUUGCCACCCCUAGCUUUACGCUUUGUUCUAAUAAUUUAACCUCCAGCAUCAAUUCGUUUCUCUCUUUUGCCAUUGUUGUUUACUAUGUUUUUCCCAAUGUAUAUUCCUUUCUCAACUGCUUAUUGAAUAAAGCAUUCUUAUAAAAACAUUUCCUUUAUUUUUAUGUUGAUAUAUGUUGAAUACUGAUUUCCUUUUCUAUAGUUGCCAGAACUUGUUUUAAUUUGAUGGUUUCUAUGAUGAUGGCAAUUUUAGGGGGCAAAUGGAAACUACUCAAACAAAUUUAUGACAUAUCAUGCUGAAAAGCUGCACAAGGUGAAUGUCACUGCUCCUUAUAAAUUGCAUCCUUUUUGGGGGAAAAACCUAAAAGAAUGCCUGGAACACAUGCAUAAAUUAAGCAGGUGCUCCGGAAACCUGGAAUCUCAAAAAAUUCCUAAGGUAUUUUCAACAUCAAAAGCUGCAUGGAUACGUCCUUUCUUCUUCAAUAUCUUGUCCCCUGUCCAGUAUAUGAAACACCCACAAUUGAGGGUAUUUUAGUGAAAUAUAGUUUGUAUAUGUGAUGCAUUUUACUCGCUACCCUUGUUCUGGUGUUUCAAACACUGGACAAAGGGUUAGAUAGUCAUUUGCAAAAAUGACUAGUUCUUGAGGUACCAAAUUUUGAGCUCCUGCGCAGUAUUUGCAAUGUUCCAGGUCAUAUUUUGUUUCCCUUCCCCUUGGGGAGCCCCCAGCAAACACAUGCAAUUCUAAUAUCCUCUUUCCAUCAAUGCAGGAUGCAACAAGGGGUAAUGGUCAGUAGUCCUCUUAGCUUCUCAAAAGUUCCUUCUUUUGUUCCUUAUCAAUGGGUUUUUUUUCUUUGUACGAAUGAUUGAAUUUAUCUUCAAUAAAAAGGUAAUGGCAGGUAAAAAGAAAAUAAAUUAAUCUUUUUUAUGAGCAAUUGAUUUCAUUUAAUGUUCCCUACAACAUGUCACCAUUACAAAACAAAGGCGCAAGUUGGAAAAAGUUUCCAAGCUUCGUUAGAGAGCAAAACAUUGUGGCCUUAUGCUAUUAUAUUGCAUGUUUACUCCCUCAUCUGAAUGCUAAUUUUAGGAAUACUCUAUGUUUGUGCAUGCGUGUGCAUGUGUGUGUGAGAGAGAAAUACUUAGAUUUGAACUUUCAAUAUGUAUUAUAUACCUGGGGAGGCAUUAAACUUAUUAUGUAAAGGGAAAAUUAUAAAUACCCCUCCAAAAUAAACUUUGCACAUAUCCUACCCUCAAAUACUUUUAGUAUCACACCUUAAACUCCAACACUAUUUUUUCUUAUAUUUGUUCCUGCAGUAAAAAAGUCAAAAAAAUUUAGAUUAAAUUACCCUUUUAUUCUUUUACCCACCCUUUCUUUCUCUCUUUUUACCUGCCUCUCUCUCUCUACCCCCUUUACCCACCCUCUCUCACUCUCUCUACCUGCCCUCUCUUAUUCUCUCUCUACCCGCCAUCUCUUUCUUCUCUCUACCUCUCUCUCUCUCUCCACCCACCCUCACUUAAUCUUCUCUCUCUACUACCUCUCUCUCUCUCUCUCUACCUGCCCUCUCUCUCAAACCUCGGGAUUUUUCCAGCGAGUCUAUUACUUAAGAGGUCAAUUUCAAUAAAAUGGUGACACCCACUAUCCUCCAUUAAUUUCCUCUCACUACAAGCAACAUUUCUGCCUCCUGCUAAUGUACAUCCCCCUUUCACUCUCUAGAAUUAUAGUGGCUUCCCUCCAGGUCUUUUGGCCUCGAUUUAGCUGAAUCCCAUUAUCAGACGUUGAAUAUUACUGGUCCUUAAUUAGAAGCAAACAGCACACCUCAAAAAUUUUCAGUUUGUUUCCGCCAAAUGGGGGCCUUGGGACGCUGGUUGGCUGGAUAUGGUUGUCGCGAGGAAACCAGCUGGUUGGCCAGAAAUGGUGCUCAGUGCCUCAAGAGUAGGGAUCUUGGCCGCCGGAAAACCACCCGUGCUAUUAUUCUUCUGGCUGGGAAUGUAUGCCGAAGAGAGAGAAAACCAGCUGGUUGGCCGGAAAUGGUGCGCGAUGCCCCAAGAGUAGGGAUCUUGGCCACCGAAAAACCAGUGCUAUUAUUCUUCUAGCCGGGCAGGAAAGCCGAAGAGAAAGAAAACCAGCCAGUUG
rnacentral:lncRNA from 1 species